rnacentral:rRNA from 1 species
AGAUUGAACGCUGGCGGCAUGCCUAACACAUGCAAGGUUCGAAGCGGCACGCGCGGGGGCGACCCUGGCGGCGGAGCGGCGGACGGGUGAGUAAGGCAUCCGGAAAUUCUGCCCUGGAAUGUGGGGGAUAAACGUAGGGAAACUUACGCUAAUACCGCAUACGACCGAGAGGUGAAAGCGGGGGACCGAAAGGCCUUCGCGCAGGCAGGAUGAGCCGAUGUCCGAUUAGCUGGUUGGUGGGGUAACGGCCCGACCAAGGCGACGGAUCGGUAGCUGGUCUGAGAGGAUGAUCAGCCGACACUGGGACUGGACGACACGGCCCAGGACUCCUACGGGAGGCAGC